CAAGUGAGUGAACGCUAAGAAAAAGGCGUGUAAUUGCAACCUCCUCCCAAUGUACGCGCUGCGUGACUUUUCUACUUCCUCUCCCUAGAACUCUCCUUCCUCUCCCUGAACUCUCCUUCCAUUUCAAACCCUAGAAUUCUAUCUCUUUGUUUCGUCCAAAUCGUUCAAUGGGAUUUCGAAAAAGAAGCUUCGAUCUGGUUCCUUCCAACUCCCCUCGUGCCAAAUUUCAACCCCGAUCUACAGAGAGAUAAAGAGAUGGCGGAUGAGCGAGAGGACGUCGAACUCGUACUUUACUUGAAGUUCUACCUUCACUUCGUCAAUUGUGCAUUUUUACCGAGACAUUUUUUCAUGGGGAUCAAGGAACCUGGGUGGAGCCUGGUGUGAUUCACCGUUCUAGUCGCUGUAAUGAUGGAUUUGAAACCUAGCAGGUGAUUUUCGUGUGCAUUGUUAUUGAAUAUUCAGAAGAAUGGAGUUCACGGAUGCUUAUAAGCAGACUGGGCCCUGCUGUUUUUCUCCCAAUGCUCGCUACAUUGCUGCUGCAUUUGAUUAUCGUCUGGCUAUUCGAGACACUCGGUCAUUUAAGGUGCUAUAGUUGUCAAUUUGCUAUUUUUUCGUUUUCUAUUUACUAUCUCUAGACUUAUGUACUGGAAUGUUAGUUUCUCGUUCCCGCAAACUGUUUCUUUGGCUCUAUUCUGAGUUCUGAUUACUUUGUACUUCAUCAUUAAAGGUUAAACAAAUUGUAAGGAUACUUAGAAGUUAGAACUUGGGAUCGUUUAUUACUUUAUAAAGUAUCAUUUUUGUUACUGGUGCUUACUUGUAUGGGUGUAUAAUUACAGUCUUCCACUUAAUCUAUGUUAACAUUUGAGAAGAUAUGAAAAUAGAUUGGGUUACAAGACUCUCCCAUAAAUUAAGAGGAGAAUUUGGACCACGUACAAGCCUAAGUUCAUGCACUUAUAACAGUUGGACCCUGUAUACCUUUGUUUAUAAAAUAUUAUCUAUUUAUAUAUUGAAAUUUUAUUACUUACUGUAGCCUACAGGGUAAGAGCGAUUCUAAGCUGAGAUUUCUGUUAGUUUUCCUAUCUGUUUCUCAUACUUUCAUACUCUCUGCUAUCAACUGAAUAUAGAAUGUGUAUUUCUCUUUCUAUACAGGUGGUGCAGUUAUUUUCAUGCUUAGAUAAGAUAAGCUACAUUCAGUGGGCCCUGAUUCUGAAUAUGUACUAUGUGGUCUAUAUAAAAAACCGACUAUACAAGUAUGGUCAAUAACUCAACCUGAAUGGACCUGUAAAAUAGAUGUUGAAACCUUCAAGGGAGGAGCAACUGAGCAAGAUGUUGUGGUAUGUCCUUAGCUGGCCGGCCUAACCAUUCAGUCAUCUGAUGGUACCUAGUGAACAUCAAACUCCCAUUUGAUGGUAUCUCUGGCUUUAAUAGAAUGACAACUGAAAGUCAGAACUUACUUAAUUUAUGACUAAAUAUUAUUUUUCUAUGUAUCCUUGAUGGUAGCAGAGUCUUCCCCUGUCUAAGUCUUUCUAAUAUCUGGAGCCACUUAAUAUUCUAAAUCAGGAAAUUUAUCAUAUGCCUGUGAUACCCAAUAAAGCCUGUCUAAUCUAAAGUUCCAAUAUUGGUUGAUAAAGCAUAUUUUUGAUCUUAUCACACUGAUGAGUGGUAAUAAAAGGUGUUGUCAGUGAAAUCUAAGAGUAGGCAUAUAUGAGAUGAAAAUUGAAAAAUAACUUUAUAUGAAAAGAACAGGUUGUUAAACUCUCUAUGUCUUUAUUGUUCUUCAAUCUUGACUUAGUUUCACGAGGACUCCAUUUGAUAAUUAUUAUGUUAAUGAAGGUUUUUUCAUUGCAGAAUAUGACGAGAUCACCUUUAGGAUGAUUAACUCAUAACUCUUCCUUAUAGAGGGUUAGCAGGCCUUAAAAUUCUGGAUGCCACAUGCAAGACAUUGUCGACAGUGGUUUCAUUCUAUGGUACUCCAUAGUGGUUGUACAUACUGCAAGUGAGUAUCUGUUUCUUUGAUGAGGAAUACCUGAUGAAGAAUGGUGCCUGACUAGUUGAUGAGGAAUACCUGAUGAAGAAGUUGGAGCUUCUCAGGAGAUUCAGUCUCAGUGGUAUGCAUACUAUGAAACACCAACUCCCAAAGUCAGGCGGAUAGAGAUAGAGAAGGCAGAAGACAUUGAUUUUGUCAACUUGGGUAUUAAACACAUGGACAUCGAUUUUGUGGGUUUUAUAGUAUUUUCCAUGUCACGCUUCCUAAAUUACGAAGAAAUGUAACAUAUAGACUAUUUGUGGAUGUUUUUGUUGGUUAUAAUUGUUGAUUUGUUAACGUGAGGCAGCUUUUCUGUAGCUGGAAUUAUUUUUUAUAAUAAAUAUGCAUUAUUUGCAAUCCCCACCACAUCAGGGGAAGUUGUAAAUAAUAAUUUUUUUUA